rnacentral:rRNA from 1 species
AUACCGGCUGCUCGAGUGAUGGCCACUAUUACUGGGUUUAAAGCGUCCGUAGCUUGACUGUUAGGUCUCUUGGGAAAUCUUUUGGCUUAACCAAAAGGCGUCUAAGAGAUACCGGCAUUCUUGGAACUGGGAGAGGUAAGCCGUACUUCGGGGGUAGGAGUGAAAUCUUGUAAUCCUCGAGGGACGACCUAUGGCGAAGGCAGCUUACCAGAACAGCUUCGACAGUGAGGGACGAAAGCUGGGGGAGCAAACGGGAUUAGAUACCCCGGUAGUCCCAGCCGUAAACAAUGUGCGUUAGGUGUAUCGGUUACCACGCGUAACUGAUGCGCCGAAGAGAAAUCGUGAAACGCACCACCUGGGAAGUACGGUCGCAAGGCUGAAACUCAAAUGAAUUGACGGGG